AGUGAACGCUGGCGGUAGGCCUAACACAUGCAAGUCGAACGGCAGCACAGUAAGAGCUUGCUCUUACGGGUGGCGAGUGGCGGACGGGUGAGGAAUACAUCGGAAUCUACUUUUUCGUGGGGGAUAACGUAGGGAAACUUACGCUAAUACCGCAUACGACCUACGGGUGAAAGCAGGGGAUCUUCGGACCUUGCGCGAUUGAAUGAGCCGAUGUCGGAUUAGCUAGUUGGCGGGGUAAAGGCCCACCAAGGCGACGAUCCGUAGCUGGUCUGAGAGGAUGAUCGGCCACACUGGAACUGAGACACGGUCCAGACUCCUACGGGAGGCAGCAGUGGGGAAUAUUGGACAAUAGGCGCAAGCCUGAUCCAGCCAUACCGCGUGGGUGAAGAAGGCCUUCGGGGUGUAAAGCCCUUUUGUUGGGAAAGAAAAGCAGCAGGUUAAUACCCCGCUGUUCUGACGGUACCCAAAGAAUAAGCACCGGCUAACUUCGUG
rnacentral:rRNA from 1 species